CCAAUUGAAGGGAUUAUGUUUGAAAAAGUAAAUGUCAUAUCUUUUUUUUCUUUCUUUAUCAACACAAACUACACACACUAAUGAAAAAAAAAAACCCACCUACAAACACAUCAAAAAUAUUGUCAUCUUCCUCUCCCCUCUCUCUAAUCUCUCUCUCUCUAUCUACAAAAAAAUCAAAAUUCAUUCUCUUGAAUUCUUCAUUGCUAUCUUCAUCUUUUUUUCUUUUUUUUACUAUUCACAUCAAGCAUGCCUGUUUAAUUUUGUAGAACUGUUUGGCUUUGGUAUUUGUGGCGUUGCUCCGGUGAAAGUCGUUGAAGCAAUCCAUUUCGGACGCUGAUUUAUUUAGUAGUAUACAUUAAAUGUGGUUGUUUGAUUUUUCGUUUCACAGAUCUUGUCGGAGUUGGUGAAGCUCUGUUAAAAAUGACAAAGCUCCGCUAUUUACUAUUUUUUUUUUCUUUCAUGACUUUGUUGAUUUCUUUGAUUAAUUUCUUUAAGGUGUUUUCUUAUAAAAUUGAUUAGAUUAGUGCCUGUUAUAUUUUAAAAUUUUAUAUUUUAAUUAUUGGUUGUUGGCUACUAGAAAGUUGAACUCCAUUUAUGAAUCUUUAUUUGAUUAUUCACGCAUGUUUAGAUUCCUUUGUUUAUUAAUGUUGUGUUCUUAUCAUUAUUUGCUACUAUGUUUUGUUGUUAUUUUGUUACUUGACUGCAAUAUUGAUUAUAAUUACUCUUUGUUAGUUAUGUCAAUUACUUGUUGCUAACGUUGCUUUGAUUAUUCAUUAUUCCUAUAACUUUCUUUUUUAACUUUGUUAUUUUUUAUUAAGGGUCGAUACAUACAUGGCUAAUGAAACUAUCUCUCAUUGAAGGUCAACCCGUUAUAAAAGACGGAUUUUAUGUUAUAAAGUUAUUAUUUCCAAUGAUUUGUUUCACUGUGGUUUGGUGGUUGAUUUGAUGUUAUUUUUUAUAUUUGCCAAAUUUUGUGUUUCUAAUUUUCCGCAUCUUGGUAAAUUUUUCACAAUGUUCUAAUGAUCUAUGUCUACUUAUUUUGUUUGGUUGCCAUAUUCAUUGUUUGACUUUUAUUAUUUUUGCUGUAAAGUUUUAAUGAAUGUCAUCAUUAUUUUGAUUCUCAAUUAUUUUUUGUAUCUAUUAUUUUGUUG
rnacentral:lncRNA from 1 species